UGAGGAAUCUUGCGCAAUGGGGGAAACCCUGACGCAGCAACGCCGCGUGAGUGAGGAAGGUCUUCGGAUCGUAAAGCUCUGUCAGAUGGAAAGAACCGCAUGAGGGCCAAUACCCCUCAUGCCUGACGGUACCAUCAGAGGAAGCACCGGCUAACUCCGUGCCAGCAGCCGCGGUAAUACGGGGGGUGCAAGCGUUGUUCGGAAUUAUUGGGCGUAAAGAGCGUGUAGGCGGCAGGAUGUGUCAGAUGUGAAAGCCCUGAGCUCAACUCAGGAAGUGCAUUUGAAACUGUCCAGCUUGAGUAGGGGAGAGGGAAGUGGAAUUCCUGGUGUAGAGGUGAAAUUCGUAGAUAUCAGGAGGAACACCGGUGGCGAAGGCGACUUCCUGGCCCUAUACUGACGCUGAGACGCGAGAGCGUGGGUAGCAAACA
rnacentral:rRNA from 1 species